rnacentral:rRNA from 1 species
UACGGGGGGGGGGCAAGCGUUUGUUCGGAAUUACUGGGCGUAAAGGGCUCGUAGGCGGCCAACUAAGUCAGACGUGAAAAUCCCUCGGCUUAACCGGGGGAACUGCGUCUGAUACUGGAUGGCUUGAGGUUGGGAGAGGGAUGCGGAAUUCCAGGUGUAGCGGUGAAAUGCGUAGAUAUCUGGAGGAACACCGGUGGCGAAGGCGGCAUCCUGGACCAAUCUGA